rnacentral:misc_RNA from 1 species
AUUUUGUAGCUCUAAAUUCAGUGAAGGAUCCAAUAAGCUUUGAGCAAUGUAAGAUGACAAAGCGGGAUCAGAAGCCAGAAGAAGAAUUAUACAAGCUAAAAGGAUGGCCAAGAAUCUUUAACACCUCUUUUCUCUCUCCAUAUGCGUGAGCUUUGAGUGCUACAACACCAAGUUAUACAAGAGAAAUGGGAAGUUCAAGCCGAGGAUAGAAUCAUAAAAAUCUUUAUUCCACAAAAAAGAAGAUACAUGUAAAUUGGUAAAGCUCAACACUACUGUGUCCACGGCUAGAGAUACAUAACACGCACUAGCUUGUCUGACCAGUGGAGUAAUGCUGAAAUGUUCCCACAAAGCAGACGGAAUCAUUUAGAGCAUUUGAAAACCUGUCCGCCAUAUUUGAAAAUACGAAAGAAAUUAAAAGCUCAAUCUCAGUCUGGGACUACCUGCAUCAAGAACUUUUCAAAUUGACAAAAAUUGCUAAAGAAGCAUACACAGAGCAUGUAACUACUAGCUCAUUAGGUCAAAUCCGAAGGGAUCCAUUGUGCCAUUCUGGAAAUGUAAAAGUUGGGAGCAGAGAAAAAAUGCAUCAAUUUAGGAAGAUAGGGAACUCACCCUGCUCAGUCUUUCUCUUUUCGCCAGUGCUUUGUCAGUUGUCACCAAAUGAGAAAUCCCACUCCUUUUUUCUGGCACUCUUUGAACCUGAAAAUAUAUCUGUACUAGAAUUUGAAAUCUUAGUAACCAAACAUAAGAAAGGGUCAAGGAUCAAAAUCAUUGUAGGCAAUAUUGAAGUCCAAAUGUCAUAGUUCUGCCGACUUCUAUGAAUGAUAAAAAAAGGAUCUGCUCUGAGCCAACUGCACUUCCUAACAGCAAAACAUUGGGAAAUGAUUGUCACAAGAAAGUAAUUUAGGUAAAUUAUUGAUAUGUGCGACGGGUUGAACGGUUACAUGAUACAAUUUCUGUUACAACAUAGUAUAAUUUCUGUUCAUAAUUACUCAAACCUAUGCGAGGAAAAGAAGAACAGAUGGGGGUGGGGGUUCUCUAGAUUACACUGCACUCUAUGUAUUUACAGAAGAAUUCCUCCUCUUUGCAGUACCUAUACAUAACUUUGAAAACCUCUAUCAAGAGUUUUGGAAAUCGGCAUGAAAAAUAAUUCUCAAAUCCUUCUGGAUGAGAUCCUAAUAUUUCCUUGAUCUCUUGAGGAAGUUCCCUGUAGUGAUGUGACUUGUUGCGUAUGACCCGCAACAAGUCUCGGACACUAUCAUACUUAUAACGCCUGUAGCGGCAAAUGUUGUUGAUGAAUGCAGCUUCCAUCUUUUCGUCCCAUUUCCCAUUUAAUGCCACUGUUCCGACACUUUCUAGUGCAGCUAAGAGUUCUGAUUCGUUCUCCCUAUCUUCCAGUUCAACCCUAUCACUAGAAUCCUGAAGAAAUAAGAGUCUUCUCUCAGAUGUCCAGAAAAAAGGAUGGCUCAGCACCUCCUGAGCUUUUGGCCUGUUAUCUGGCUUAGGAUCCAAGAGGCGAGAAAAAAGAUCCACAGCUUCCGGUAUAUUCUCCACCAAGAACAGGUCUUUCCUGUCAUUCACAAUAUUUACAUCACGUUCAAUAUUGUCGCCAAAAGGGUGCUUUCCUCCUGUGAC